rnacentral:rRNA from 1 species
AUUGAACGCUGGCGGCAGGCCUAACACAUGCAAGUCGAGCGAGCGGCGCACGGGUGUGUAAUGUCUGGGAAACUGCCUGCUGGAGGGGGAUAACUACUGGACACGGUAGCUAAUACCGCCUACCAUCUGAGGUGCCCCCAUGGGAUUAGCUGUUAGGUGGGGUAAUGGCCCACCUAGGCGACGCUCCCUAGCUGGUCUGCGAGGAUGAUCAGCCACACUGGAACUGAGACACGGUCCGGACUCCUAAGGAAGGCAGAAGUGGGGAGUAUUGCACAAUGGGCGCAAGCCUGAUGCAGCCAUGCCUCGUGUGUGAAGAAGGCCUUCGGGUUGUAAAGCACUGUCAGCGGGGAGGCGUUACCCGCAGAAGAAGCACCGACUAACUCCGUGCCAGCAGCCGCGGUAAUUC